GAUGAACGCUGGCGGCGUGCCUAAUACAUGCAAGUCGAGCGAACAGACCAGGAGCUUGCUCCUCUGACGUUAUCGGCGGACGGGUGAGUAACACGUGGAUAACCUACCUAUAAGACUGGGAUAACUUCGGGAAACCGGAGCUAAUACCGGAUAAUAUAUUGAACCGCAUGGUUCAAUAGUGAAAGACGGUUUUGCUGUCACUUAUAGAUGGCUCCGCGCGGCAUUAGCUAGUUGGUAAGGUAACGGCUUACCAAGGCAACGAUGCGUAGCCGACCCGAGAGGGUGAUCGGCCACACUGGAAGAGAGACACGGUACAGACUCUGACGGGAGGCAGCAGUCGGGAAUCCUACGGGAUGGGGGAGAGGCUGAUGGUGGAACGCGGGGGGAAGCAUGAAGGAGCUCGGAUCGGAGAACGAUGUUAGUAGUGGAGAAGUAAUGUGCUAGUAACUGGGCACGUCUUGACAGUACCGAAAGAAAAAGCCCCGGCUAACUACGUG
rnacentral:rRNA from 1 species